rnacentral:rRNA from 1 species
ACGCUCGACACCUACGGGAGGCAGCAGUGGGGAAUAUUGCACAAUGGGGGAAACCCUGAUGCAGCGACGCCGCGUGAGCGAAGAAGUAUUUCGGUAUGUAAAGCUCUAUCAGCAGGGAAGAAACUGACGGUACCUGACUAAGAAGCACCGGCUAAAUACGUGCCAGCGCGCGUAGUAUNGCGGCGUGNGAGAG